UCCGCCGGUCGCCACAAACCCGUAGAUCCGAACUUGUGGUGGGAGUUUUGCACAAGCUCGUGUCUACGGGUCUGUGUCGGCAGGGCACG
ensembl:miRNA pma-mir-100a pma-mir-100a